GGGCUUUGGGGUGCACGGAUCCAAAUGCCCAGCUGGCACCCACACCUUGUCCUACUCUGGGGCAGCAGGACUGGGCAGGAGCUCAAAAGGAAUGGGGAUGGAGAGCAGGACUCCCGAGCAUCUCAGCUUCAUGUGGGCAUCUUCUUGAAGAAAAUCUGUCAUGCUGGUGCUUGGGAUCUGCAAACACCUGGAUGCUCUCAUUUAAAUGGCACAUGGAUGUGCAGACAUCAACCAUAUCAUAAGGGCUGAGCACCCCAAUUUGGCAUCCAGCACCUUAAACAACCCAGAGCCCAGGCUGGAAGGGCGACGGCUGAAGGUGGAACAGACAAGCAGAGACACUUGGCCAGAUUCUCCCUCCUGACACAUCAUUCAAUGGAAACUUUUUCAGAAACAACCACAACAAAAAAUCAGUGGCUGAAACCUCACUGCCUGUGGCUGGACCAUGGUGAGAUUUCAUACCCCAAGCAAGGCUGGAACCAGUAUUUAGUGAAGUUGGGUCACCUCCAAGAAAGCACAGAUCCAAGAAUUAUGUCAAACUUCUGGCUAGACAAAACUAAAGUUGCACUUUUUCUCCCCAAA